rnacentral:ncRNA from 2 species
CAACCAUCAAGAGCGGCUGAGAGAUCUGGCUCGUUGACGCCGCAGCAACCAUCACGUGAUGGCAUUCCUCCUUCAAGAGGAUCUCCAUCAAUGAGGGUGCUAAGGCCAGAAGCGAUGGAGC